GAUGAAGAACGUAGCAAAAUGCGAUACUUGGUGUGAAUUGCAGAAUCCCGUGAACCAUCGAGUUUUUGAACGCAAGUUGCGCCCGAAGCCUUUUGGCCGAGGGCACGUCUGCCUGGGCGUCACGCAUCGCGUCGCCCCCUCCCACAAUUCUCCGCAUAGGGAACUUGUGUUUUGGGGGCGGAUAUUGGUCUCCCGUGCUCAUGGCGUGGUUGGCCGAAAUAGGAGUCCCUUCGAUGGACGCACGAACUAGUGGUGGUCGUAAAAACCCUCGUCUUUUGUUUCGUGCCGUUAGUCGCGAGGGAAACUCUUAGAAAACCCCAGCGUGUCGUCUUUUGACGGCGCUUCGACCGCGACCCCAGGUCAGGCGGGACUACCCGCUGAGUUUAAGCAUAUCAAUAAGCGGAGGA
rnacentral:misc_RNA from 1 species